ensembl:antisense Tbx3os1 T-box 3, opposite strand 1
UGAGCCAGAAUGGACAGAGACGAGUGAAGACCCAAAGAUCUUCAACCAAGCUGGGCAAGUGUUCAACCAUUGAGCUACACCCCCGACCCUCCCUUCCGUUUGGCUGCAACAAUAAACCAGUUGUGUCUAGGAGAUCCAACGCCGGUCAAGCCGCUCUACCCACUGAGCCAUCUGGCUGCCUGUCAAGAAGACAAACUUCUGUUGCGCAGUGCUCAGGCACCUGUGAAGACAGGAACUUGGGGAUGAAUGAGGAGAGAGCCUAGAGAGAAAGGGCCCUCGUCUGGCGCACAGAGUCCCUGAACAGAUUUGGACUGGCUUAGCAUGACCAGCAGUCUCAGCCAUAGACGCGUUCUCUCUCUCUCUCUCUCUCUCUCUCUCUCUCUCUCUCUCUCUCCUGCCUGUCCAGAAAUAGUUUCCGGGAACCGAGGUGCUUCCCCGCCAGCCAGCGGGGAGAUAAAGCUGCCCGUGUGUGUCGCUUGUCUUGGCUGCCUCUCAGUUGACACCUCUGACAGGCCGCUUUGAUCUCGGGUUAUCAAGGCCUAACCCCGAGCCUGGCCUGCUCUGCCAGCCCUCACUCACUGGGGAAAAGGGCAUUUCAGAAGGUCAGUUCGGGGAGGGGCAGGCUUCUCCUCAUGCCCAGCUGGCCUUGAAGCAUGGGUGCUGGAUGUAGGAAUUGUACCCAGUUUUACUCUGCAGCGGUGAUGGAUGGGGGGGCUGGAGGGAGAUGGGGGCAGGGUCUUGGCUGAGAAAUGAAGCAUUCAAGUGGUGCCUACAGCAUACGGGGUGUUUACUUCAUGUCCUCAUGGGCCUGGGCCUUCACCACAGAUAAAGAGUCCUGGCUGCUGAUUUAUUGGCCAGCCCAGUGUAUGGCUGGCAAGUUUCUCCUCAGACUCGGUUUCCACCCCCUAUCUGGUAAAAUAUAGAGGAUUUUUAUAACUAUGGACACCUCCUCCUCUAGACUAAACCUCUAGAGAACCAUUGUACAAACUGGGUGGAAGCAGAAAAGAGGCUGUCUGAGGAGAGGGGGCCUCUGAGACGAUAUCUCAGCUCUGUUAGUGAUUAAUCACCACCACCACCACCACCACCACCACCACCACCAUCAUCAUCACCACCAUCAUCAUCAUCACCACCACCACCACUAUCAUCAUCAUCGUGUUUGAGACAUGGUCUCAGUCCAGUCCAGACAGACCUCCAUCUGACUACUCUCCUGAAUGCCUAAGGCCCAGCAUACACCACUACCUUCCGGGCUCUCGUUCUGUAAGAGAUGAAGAAUGACGUGUGGUGAGACAUCCCUCACUGGAUAGAUGGAGGCUAGAGGCUCACAGGCAAAGGUCAUCUGUGGUUGCAGACAGGAUUCACUCAGAUGUCCUUAAAGAUCCUCCAGACUAGGAAGAAGAUAAAGCUGAAACCAGAAGAAAGAGUUGCUAAUAGCCCAUGGAUGGACUAAUCCUUUAACCCUGGAGUCAUUCUGGGAGUGGAGAGCGGGGCAAAAUAAAGCAAAUAAUAAAAUACAGGAGGGCCCCUGGCCCGGGGCGGUGGGGGUGAUGGGAGUUGGAGUCACUCGCCUGUCAGGACCUAUAUCAACAUGUCAGCCACUUGGACAAACAAGCGUUUCGAGGGGAAAUAUUUCAGAUAAACAGACACGAUGUUAUGACAUAUCACCCCCCCCCAACCCUGGAAGGGGGUCCUCGGAGACCAAGGAGAAGAAGAAAGGAAGCAACGCCAUGCAGAGAUCUGUUUUCCCUGGCUUGAGGCCCCGAGGGUCAGCUGUAAAUAAAAUAGGUUUUUG